AUGUUCAGUUGCUCUACCUUUGUGCUGCAGUUCUUUGCUCUGUAAAAUGUUCUCAGUACACAAAAGCAGCUGCUGAAGUAAACCGCUUCAGACUGAGGGUGAGAGAACUGAUGUCAGCACCACUAAGCAAACUCCAGUAGAGACUGAGAGAGCAAGACAGUGCAGAGACACCAAAGGAGCUUCUGUGAGAAACAAAAAUAUCAGCGUUAUUGCCUGUCAUCAGAACCUCAGAUAUCUUUUACAAUAAAGAAUUUGAAAAUGGGAGAGCAAGGAGGUGCAGGACUUCACAGUGAAGGACACAUUUGGGAGAGGAGGAAGAGAAAUCCUUGAACCUUCUGGAGACAUAAACAUAUAUAAGAUGAAUAUGUACUCACACAGCAGCCUCAUAUGAGAUGUGGCAUCUAUGUAACAAAUAAUAACUUACUGUCUUUAUAUAUUGCAAAGUGUGAUGAACUGGCCAAAUCACCCCUCUGAAAUGUUACAGAUUUUAAAGGCUUUUUAUGCUACAGGGAUGCCACUGUUAGAAAUAUAUAAUUUUGGACAGUCUUCCAAAAGACAUAGUUUUACAGACCUGUUGUUUCACUGAUAGAAACAGUACAAUUCCACAAAUAAAUAAUGCAACUAUUUGCCUUGAAACAUCUAUUUAACAACUUCAAUGUCCUUUUAGACUUUGGGAUAUGGAAUCUUUCAUUAAAAAUAAAAAAUCCCUACCUGCCUAAUAUCUAAUGUCUAUACUUUUAUGCCAAGACCCUUUUAUGCUGAUAGCAUUAAAAAUUAUCGUGGA